CCAAAACGCUGGCGCAGCCCCUGUUUUAUUUUUUUGUUCGUAUAAUUCAGUUUACAUACACUCUUUUCUUCUCUCAAUUUCUCAAUUUGCCCGUCCCCUUAUCGAACCUUUUUCAUCUUCGGACGUCACGUCCCUCUUUGCCGUUUCAUCAAACAGUUGGGGGACAAAACAAUCCUCUUCUUCUUCCCCCAUUUACAUAGCUGCUGUGGAAACCCUAGAAUUAAUCCUGAUGGAAUUGAGCUUUGUUCCUCUUCAUCAAUUGGUUGUUGAAUCUGAUGCGUGAAUUGGUUCGAUCUAUUGCUUCGAGGUCGGUCGGAAUUUUCGAUUGGCGGAGUCGACAAUGGAAAAUCAAUUACAAUUGGCCUUGACCAGUCCUACGACGCCGUUCUCGAGCUUGUUCGACUCGCAGAAGGAAAUCCUCAAUAGCCAGAUUUAUCAGCUCCAAAACAUCGUUGUACAACAAUGUAACCUCACUGGCGUCAAUCCACUCUCUCAAGAGAUGGUUCGUUUUCUUAAUCUUUGUUUUUUCUGAAGUUUUUUUAUUUUUAUUUGAGUACUUGUUUCUCUUAAAAUUCUGAAUUUGCCUCUUGUACUUUGUUGGUAGUGAUUGUUUUAGGAAAUGUAGGAACUAGCAUUGGCUAAGUUGACAGUUCAUUAUGUUUUAUGGUUAACUAGAUUCACCUUUUACAGUACAGAAAUGGUAAUGAAUUUAUGUUUAAGUCAGAAGUGUAACAUACUAUAUGUGGUUGUACAGUUGAAGGACUGAUAAAUAACUUGAGAUUAGCAGCGCGUAUCCAUUUUUUUGAGUUGAGGACUAGCAUGUCUUAAUAGUUUCUGUUUAUCCAGAAGGAUAGUAAAAACAAUAGCUACCUUUUGGCAUAAUUUGCAUUUUAUUAAUUUAAGAUCUCUGGUGUGGUUUGUGUGGCAGAAUUUAUUUCACAGAAAAGAAUUCCUUAACUUUCCAGUUCAAUUGCUGGUGGGAACUUAUUUCUGCUGGUGGCUCAUUCAUUUUUCUUCCGUUGUGCAGGCUGCUGGAGCUCUUUCAAUAAAAAUUGGUAUGUCUCCUUGGCCUAAAUUAAAAUCAUGAUGCUUGUGUAGUCGAGUAAAAAAUUUAGUUGACUCGGAUCCCUUCUGAGAAUGAAAAGACAGUAGGUCAUAUUGACAUGUUCAUUUGUUACUCUUAUAUUAUUUUUUCACAUUGAUUAUACUACGUGAAGCAUGUUGCCUUUGUUGGGUGGUUCUUUCAUUUUAUUCUGUUUUAUUUGCUUUUUACUUGUCAUUUUGUUUUUUAUUUUAUUUGCUUUUUACGUCAUUUUAAUUUUUUUUUUAUUUGCUUUAGUAGUAGUUUUUUUUCGUUGCCAAGUACAACAUUGCUUUUAUGUACCAGAAUUACUUGUCUUGAUGUUUAAGGUGAACUUGCUUAAUGAGCUAAGUUGCUACUGUCAUCUUUUUCUUACAAGGUGAUGCUUUGAUCCAAAUUAUAUGUAAUGCGUCUUUUUAGUUAUUAGCGUAAAUGAUGCUCUUGACUUCUUCAAUUUUUGUGCAAGCUACUCUGAUUCCAUUUGUAUUCUGUUAGUUUAACAUCAUCUGUUGCAGGCAAAAGGCCAAGGGAUCUCCUAAACCCCAAAGCAAUCAAGUAUAUGCAAUCUAUUUUCUCUGUCAAAGAUGCAAUCAACAAGAAGGAAACGCGUGAAAUCAGUGCUCUUUUUGGUGUCACAGUCACACAGGUGUGUGACGUCCCUUUUUCACAGUUUUUAGUAAUCCUUUCUCCAUUCUACCUGGCUGGAGUUUUGUUUAAAACUUUUCUACAUUUGUGAAUGUCGAUUAUUUUAAAUCUGAUUGGAUUCCUUGUCUAGAAAUUGGGUUAGGAUCAUAGAUCAAUAAGAGCAAUGGCUUGACUUGUAAAUCUCAGUAUCUCUCAUUUGUUUCAUGAGCAAUGGUUUGACUUGUAAAUUUCAGUGUCUCACAUUUGUUCAUGCUAUGAUGUGCAAUAAUCCUAUGCUCAUGACUCGUCAUUGUUCAAAAGAUUUAUAUUUUUCCGUGGAAUGUCAGUCUUAAAAACUAUGAAAGGAGCUUAUGUUGGUGGCAUUUGCAUGCUAGUUGCACCAUCUUUCUUUAGUUCAGUUUUGCUAUUUUGGAUAUUAGGAGCACACUAGUGCUUUUGAGAACAGGCUAUUUUGGAAUUAUGCACCUUUUUGUGUAUGAUGAUGUAGCUCCUUAGUCCUUAGAAAUACAUUCCCUUUUCUCCUUUGCUUUUUUGGGCGGUUUGGGUAUGGACAGAUUCCUUAAUCCCUUCUGCAUAGACAUUCAGUAGCUAUCCCUGAUGCAAUUUAAGCUGGAAGAUGAUAUAAGAUCUGUGCAUUUUCCGAUUUCAUCUUCUCUGACAACUUUCACGUUGUUUGUUUGAAUACCAUCUUUGCAUUUGCAGGUUCGGGACUUCUUUACAGCUCAGCGCACGAGAGUUAGAAAGUUCCUGAGGUUGUCUAGAGAGAAGCCUAUCAUAACCAAUUUAUCUAUUGAAGGGUCUUGUCCGAUCCCAUUGAGUUCUGAUCCUAGUUCACAAACAGAACCAGUUCCCCUAGACAGUGCGGUUCCAAUCUGUACAGAGGAGGGGCCAUCUUGUUCGACACAAGAUGAGGUCCUAACUGCCAUGGAGGAGAGGGAUAGACAUUUUGUUGGUAAUAUCCUUACUUUAAUGUGCAAGGAUGAAACCUUUUCUGGGAGGGUUAAGCUGAUGGACUGGAUCUUGGAAGUACAAAACCCCUCUGUGCUAUAUUGGUACGUGAGAGUUAUGGUCGUUGAAUUUAAAUUGUAUUCUAGUGUACUCCUUUUCUAAUAUAAUUUGUUUUCUUAAUAACAUAUUUAUAGGUUUUUAACUAAAGGGGGUGUAAUGAUCUUAUCUGCAUGGUUGAGUGAAGCAGCUGGAGAAGAGCAAACCAGCAUUCUUCAUCUCAUCCUGAAGGUCCAUAUUGAUCCUUUAAUUUUAGAUCAUUUGCCCAUAAUGUCAUUUUUUCUGCCAGAAUAUUGUUGUUCUAAUGGUUGCUUGGUUAUCAGGUACUAUGCCAUCUUCCUUUACACAAAGCAUUUCCUGGACAUAUGUCUGCUAUACUGCAGAGUGUUAACAGUCUGCGAUUUUAUCGGACUCCAGGUGUGUUGUCCUCGCAUUCAACAACUCCUUAUUUUAUCUUUAGGUAUCUUUGUGCUAAAAAGACAUUAAGAAACUUAAACUGCUCAUCUUCAGGGCUUAUACAUUUCUGGUAGCUUGUCUGUAGCUAGAGUGUCAUUGAUAUUGUGCCGCAUUACAGAAUUUCCUGAAACUUAGUUGGAUAUUUAGGAAACAUGUCAAUCAAAGUCAGCACAUCUUUUUAUACUAGCAGUGGCAUCUCUACUGAACUAUUUACUCAGUGAAUCACACAUUACAUAGUGCUGCUCUGAAGAAUUAUGCAUAUUUGGCAUGUCAUAUAAAUAUUAGGACAUUACUUCAGAAAUCACUGUGCUGACAAUGUAAUCAUUUUCAAUAUUUCGUUAUCUCAGACGAUCUGUUGUGUUUUUGCUGUCAAAUAAGGACAGUGUUCUUGGAAACUAUUGCACUGGCGAUACAUUCAACUAUAUCUUUCUUUAUUUCAGAUGAACUUUUGAACAUUCGAUGUGUGAAUUUUUUAAUGAUCCUGAUUUGAUACUUUAACUGAUCAUAUUCUGAGAAACAAUGGAAAACAUCAUCGAAUAAAUGUGUUUGUUUCUAGACUGCAUCAGUAAUAUAAAAUUUGUUAGAUAAGAAGAGACUACUAAAAUAGAUGUCGUGCCAUUUGCUUUUAUUUGUAUCAGCCGGUUAGAGUAAUUUGCUAUUUCGGUGGGGUUUAUACUGUAUUUUCAUGAUAGCUGGCUUCUGUACUGCACUAUACUUAUAUUUUUUGGGAAGGGGAGGGGAGUGGAUGGGUAGUUGAGAGAGAGAAAUCCUUCUUUAGCUCCAUCAGUAUUUUGGAUCUCAUUCAUCUGAUUUGAAGAUCAGAUAUCUCAAACAGGGCAAGAAUUUUGCUUGCAAGAUGGAGCAAGAUAUUUGCAAAGAGCCAUGCUAUGAAGAAACGUAAUGGGAUUAAAUCUGCUAGUGAUAUGCAUGAUGAGUUGUUAUUGCAGCAGAGGUAAGCUUAGGUCGUGCCUCAAAAACACCUGAUCGACUUUUCUCAUUUAUCAACACAUUUGUUGCUAUUUGCAGCAUUAGCGAAGUUGUGGGCGAUGAAAUAUGGAACUCAAAAAUUGAGGACGUUGUAAGUUUAUUGCGUACUUAAAUGUAUUUGGUUUAGAAGAUGCUGUUUUUUGAAUAAAAAAGAAGAUCGGAUUUUCUAUUCUUACUUUAUCAUUUUCCUUCUGUUUGGUAUUUUAGGAAGAAGCUCAUGCAAACCUCUGUGGGACUUCAGAGAAUUCAAGGUCUGGUGUGUUCUUACUACCUUGCUUUUUGUAAUUGUUGAUGAAUUUCUAAGCACACACCUCUCUUUCAGGAAUUUGGAUUCUCCACAUCCAGUUAAAUUGCUUAUGGCAUCUUCAGAUGACUCUAACAAGAGGCUUAAAGGAGCUUUGGUGACUAGUAUCCUUAUAUUCCCCUAUGGUUAAUUCAAUUUGUCAAUAACUUUCAGUGUAAGGUCUUCAUUUAUCUCGAUUGAAUGAUGGCUCCUCGUUCCGUGGACAAUAAUUGGAAGAAAAUUUGAUCUCUCAUUUAUUUCCAUGCUUUGAAAUCAUUGGUAUUCAGAAGUUUCCAUAGGGACAUACUCAUCAAAUAGAUUUGAGCAUGGUAGGGAAAAUAGCUAUGGUUUUUCCUCUCCUUCUCUGAUUUCUUACACUUGCAUAGAAUCCCUUAACUACUUCAGAAACUCGAGAGCGCAGAAAAGUUCAGCUAAUGGAACAACCAAGCCAAAGAACAACGGGAAGAAGCCUAGGAAGACCAGCACCUGCAACUCAAGGCCGCCCACUCUCAGCAGAUGAUAUCCAAAAAGCAAAAAUGCGAGCACAGUUUAUGCAGAGUAAAUAUGGGAAACCUAAUAAUGAUGAGAGUUCUCGGGUGAAGCCUCAAGCUCCAAAUGGAAUUACCUCUUCACCAAAUGGUAUCUUGCUUGGAGCUCCAAAAUUUCAAGAUCGGCCUAAAGUUGAGGAAUGUGAAAAGCUCAAUAGUGUUGCCUCUAAUGGGCCCAAUCAGCUGGAAAAUCAUCUCAAGUUGAGUUUUGACAUAGAGGAACCUCCAUCGAAAAGGUGCAAGAAAAUGCAGAUCCCUUGGCGGAAACCACCAGGUAAAUUUGCUGUUGUUGUUGCUGAAAGACCGUUCUUGUUAAUCUGUAGAUUUCAGAAAAGGAGGAACAUUAGUUUUUUUAAUAGGUUGAAAAGGCAAUCUCACCCAUCUUGUCUAAUAUUAUUGCUCAAUUUUUUCUCCACAAUUCCCUUCAUUAUUCUUUUUGCUUUCUCUGUCCCAAUUUAUGUGACACACUUUCCCUUUUAGUCUGUUUAAAAAAGAAUGUCACCUGCCCCCAAUGCCUAGCUCAAGUGGCAAAAGGUGGAGGAUUUGUGGCUUAGGUCGCAGGUUCAAGUCCCACACCAUGCAAAGCGAAGUCCGGUAUUUAAGUGGAGAAGGGUAGAGGGGCGGGCCCAUUAUCCACCGAGUUUAAAAGUCUGUGAUUGGUCCAAAGGGCGGGUCACAGACGGAUUACUCGGUUAUCAAAAAAAAGAAAAAAAGAAUGUCACCUUUCUAUAAUUAGAAACUAUUUAACUUUAAAAUUUUACUUUUACCCUUUUGACAUGAUUUAUAGCCACACAAAUGGUCAAGGUUUAGACCACACAUUUCAGAAAUUUUCGUUUCUUUCUUAAACUUUGUGCCAAGUGAAAUGGUGCCACAUAAAUUGGGACGGGAGUGAGUAAUACACAGGAUUCAACUGUGAGAAUUGUCUCUAGUAAAGUAGUUAGCAACUCAGCCUUGGUCUCUAACUUGCCAUACAAUAUGGUUAGCAUGGUCUUCAACUUGUCAGAAAAAAGAAAAGAAAAGGAAAAUAAUUUUUUUUUGAGCUUUGCUCUCUAAUUAUAUUUUCAUGGUAGUUGAGCUAAAGACGAUCAGGUUUCUGUUGUCUUCCAUAAGUUCAUUAUUCUAGGAACUAAUUACUGGGGAAAUAUAGAUGUGGCUUAGUAAAACUACUAGCUCAACUCUAGAAAUAUCUCUGAAGCGAACUGUUAGUUUUCAUUGUUAAACUAUCAAUUGGGCAUAUUAGGAGUGAGGUCUUGAUCUUUUAAUCACAAUAAGCAACUGUUUCCAUUUGGUUUUUAUUGUUGUAUUUCGAAAAUCUCUUGGAAGUUAUGGGUUUUCUGUGGAGCAGUUGAUUGCCAAGUGUGCCUUCUCAUUGUGAAGGAAAUCCUACUUGCAAGUAAAGGGAAACUUUUUGCCUGACACGGAUGAAAACGUUCCACAUUAUGCUUAAAAUCAAUCAGACAGGAAUAAUCAGAAAAAGAAGCAGUGGAGUAAAGGUUAAUGGUACUUUUAUAGGAGACCUGUCUUAGGAAAAUAUCAAUCUAUUUUUUGAGUUAACCGCUUAUAGUGUGCUUUUAUUGAUGAUCAGUAUGAGAGGCCAGAACACGAUAAAUUAGGUGGGAAUAUACUGUACCUCAUAAUCUUUUAUACUUUUGACUCUUCAUUGCCAUAUGCUCUUUACAAAAGGCUCAACAGUAUGGAGUUCAGUAAUUUUUUGUUUUCUCUGUUUGCUUGUUUUAAAAUUUGUGGACAAUGGUUUACACUAAAAUUUUUGUGGAAAAUGGUUUACAAUAAAAUUUUUGUGGACAAUGGUUUACACUAAAGGAUAAAAACAAGUCAUUUUCUGCUGUGAUACCCUUUCUAUCUUUAGAAUUUUACUCUCUUCUAGUUUUACAUCUACAGACUAUUAUCAGCCCUUACCAUAACUACCCAUUGUCCUGCAAAAUUUUUAGGGGUCGUUUGUGUUAGUUAUGUUGGGAUUAGUUAUGCCUCUAUUAGUUAUCCUGGUAUAAUUUCUUAUUGACUGUUCAAUUUUUUUGUAUUACAAAUAACAUGCAUUGGAUAAUUUUUAAGUUAAUUGUUUACAAAAAUACCCUUCAACUUAUUAGUUGAAAAAGGGUUUGAGGGACCUCAUGGGUAUUUUUGUCAUUUUUUAUCUCGGAAUAACUGAUUCCGGUACUGUUCCACCCUCCAAUAGGGAUAAUCUAUUCCGGUACUAAUUACUAAUUUCGGCAUAACUUAUCCCAAGACUAGUAUCCAAACAAGGAAUAAGGCACUACUAAAUUUAUCUCUGGACUAUGUAUGCUUGUUCAGUAGACUAGGCGAUCCUUAGAGAAUGUAAUAUUAUUACAGGGUGUUAUCAUCUAUCAGAAUUUUAGUUUGGUCAAACAUUGAAGCUAGUUUUGGCACGACAUGUUAAUGAAGCCAAAUGUGUGUUCCUAUUUUUCUAUCGUUUGGGGUUUGGAUUUUUUUUUGUUGUUGAUGAAAAUGGUUAAGAUAUAGGUGUGUUUGGCACUGAUGGGAAAGUUAUUCGCAAAAAAUGUUUUAGUCAAGGAAAAUAUUUUGUAGUGCUUAAUUGCAUUCAAUCGUGGAAAAUAUCUUAUGCCUAAUGGGUUCAUUUUUCUUUACAAAAUAUUCUACCAUUCAAUCAACACUAAGUGUAGUUUGGUAGCUGGUUUGGAGGUGAGUUAUGCACGUAUAAUUUUGCAUAAGUAAUACCAUGUCCCAGCAUUACUAAUACACCAUAUUGAUACUUUUCUUAUACUUAACCAAACGAUCUGUCAGAUAUAAUUUCAGUAUCUAAUUCUAAAAGAUAUCGUCAAAACUCUAAUAGCAUACCUUGCAGUCUUGCACAUUGCACGAUUACUACGACUAUCUAUUAUUAUACCCACAAACAUUGGAGAUGAUCUAAAAAAUGGUGACCUGACUUAAAAGAUGUUUUUCACAAAAAAGUAUUUUCAUCUAAAACGUUUUUCUCUGUACAGAGAGCACCUUAGAAAAGAAAAUGUCUUCUUUAAAGGCGCGAACAAGUAAUUGCCUGCUCUUCCUAUAGCUGCCUUACUGUCAUCAAUGACUGUUCCCUUUCAUCAGCUCUUGCUGUUGAACUCUUCCUCACCUUCACCCGAUCACAGUUGGCAUGAAGGAAAAUUUUGGGAUGAUGAAAAUUUUAUGUAAUUCAUUGAUAAGUUUCUUACCUUGUCUAUCAAAAACAACUUUACCCUCCUUAGCUUUCAUUUGUGGGAUUACAUUGUGUUUGUUGUUGUACUUUUUAUUUACUGGUUAGAUAUCAAAAGAUCAUAUUAGAGAUUGGCGUGAGGGGUGGGUGGGUUCUUUGUCCAAAAAGAAAAUUUGAAAGCAGGAUGGAUAUAUGAGAUUUGUUGAUCUGCAGAGAAUGACUAACCCCAACCACAUUCCCCCGUGGAGUGGCAUUCAUCAGACUAACAACAACGGUUGCUGCAGAUUAUAAGAUCUUUCUUAUGGGUCUAAAUUGUAGAGAUAGGAUAUUUGCAGUGUCAGUUACUUAUCCCCCCCCCCCCCCCCCCCCCCCCCCNNNNNNNNNNNNNNNNNNNNNNNNNNNNNNNNNNNNNNNNNNNNNNNNNNNNNNNNNNNNNNNNNNNNNNNNNNNNNNNNNNNNNNNNNNNNNNNNNNNNNNNNNNNNNNNNNNNNNNNNNNNNNNNNNNNNNNNNNNNNNNNNNNNNNNNNNNNNNNNNNNNNNNNNNNNNNNNNNNNNNNNNNNNNNNNNNNNNNNNNNNNNNNNNNNNNNNNNNNNNNNNNNNNNNNNNNNNNNNNNNNNNNNNNNNNNNNNNNNNNNNNNNNNNNNNNNNNNNNNNNNNNNNNNNNNNNNNNNNNNNNNNNNNNNNNNNNNNNNNNNNNNNNNNNNNNNNNNNNNNNNNNNNNNNNNNNNUUACCUCCCCCCCCCCCCCCUCCCCGCGCACACCCCACAAACAACGUCAGCACAUUGUAGCAAAGAAAAGGUGUAAAUAAACUCAUAAAAGCAACAUGGGUGCUGCCUGUAGAUGUAUGUUUCCGAAGGCCAAAUGCAAUCUGUCUUCUGCAUAUGUAGGCAGCAAUACUAACAUCCAACAAACUUCUUCCAUGCACAUAUGAUUCCAAGAGGCCAACUCCAAAUUUGAAGCUUAACAAAAUUGUAGUUUGAUGUUGGAUUGGUUGUUUCUUGUUGAGCUCCAAAAUUGUGGACAGGGAAAACAAUCAAGUGUUUCAAAUGUUAAUGGUGGUACGGACAUGGUUAUCCUUUUGAUGUUGGAUGCCAUGUGAUUAUUUUGUUUUAUUAUCUUUGCGGAGACAAAACUAGGGUUGACAAACAGCAGCUCUUUUAUGUAGCUCAAGGUCUUGAUCAGUUUACCAUGUGUUGUUGGGUCCGGUUAUUCAACGUUGAUACUCAUAUAAUUCUGGCCCUUCUACCCUCCCCUCCUCCUUUCAGUUCCCGGCUCGAUGUGUAGAAAAUCCAGGAUGGAAAAUUGCAGACUCAUCAUUUUCAUUUUGAGGAUAAAAAAUAGCUGUGUAAUCACCAGUUUUGUUACUUUUCAGUAUGUCUUACUGUGUCUGAAGUUGCAAAUAACUUUUAAAAACAACAUUUCUAAGUGGUAAUUGUUGCCUUGUGGUUUAACAAAUUUGAAUAGUCCACAGCUGCUAGUAUCUAGUUGGGAGAUAAUGUACGCAUGCAAAAAUUUGAACUCGUCUGUUAAUGGGUCAUCCUUAUUCAAGCUUUUCUGUUUGAUGCAGAAAUGCAGCCCAGCGAUGCAUGGAAGGUUUGUGCUGGGGGUGAGAGUAAAGAAGUCGACGUUCAGAAUAAGAGAAUCCGUCGAGAGAGGGAAAUCAUUUACAGGACAGUCCAGGAAAUUCCAUUGAAUCCCAAGGAACCUUGGGACCGUGAAAUGGACCCUGAUGACACAUUAACCACAGAACUCCCGCUUGAGCAAUUACCAGAUGCAGAAGGUGCUGAAACAGGUGUGUUGCCGCAGGAGGACAGAGAAACUGAAACUGCUGCAUUAGCCAGUACGUCAAAUGGCAUUGCAACUACAGCAGAACCUGAUGUAGAGUUGCUUGCUAUACUGCUAAAACAUCCAGAGCUGGUUUAUGCUUUGACGUCUGGCCAAGGUGGAAACUUGUCCAGUGAGCAAAUUGUAAAGCUGCUUGAUUCGAUCAAAGCCGAUGGGAGGAAUUCACUGAGCAUUCAAACAAAUUUAGCCAGAGACGCUGAGAAGAAAGUUGAAGUUUCUCUUCCGUCCCCCACUCCUUCCAGUGAUCCUGGAACGGUGCGUUAUUUAGUCACAUUUUGUACAGAUUUCAACUAUUAUGGAAUUUGGGCGGGGCUUUCGUUUCCUCAGUUGUCUCCUCUCCUCUCUCUUUCCCAUUUUUUUCUCCACUUCUCAUUUAUAGUUUUUCCAGACAAGUAAACGAGAAACAAAUAAACAAAUAAAUAAAAUAAUCAUAAAGCAAAUGAAGCCUGGACUCUGAAUCACGUUGGUAAAUACAAGUUGUCUUCCUAGUUAGCACUGUACUUUGAGAAUUUCCGCUUAGUUCGAGGUCUCCUUAACACAAACAAGGAUGUUUCAAAUAAAACAAAAUACUUAAAUAAUAUAGUGGGUUAAUUGUAGUGCUAUACUAUCUUCUUGACAUCUUAGUACUUUUCUGAAACGGGCUCUAAUUUUUUUCAACUUUUUUUUUUGGUCUUUCAUGCAGAGUGGAUUGUCGAUGCAGAACUUUGCUAAAAACCCUUUCUCGCAGAGAAGUUCAAUGGUGGUUCCAGAAGCAAAUGGUGUACAUCAACACGCUGCAUUGGUCUAUUCGCAGGAAACGCUUCAACCUAGCAGUUUGGUGCAUCAGCAGGUCCCCCUUGCGCCACAAUUAGCCCAACAGUUGGCACUGCUUCAAGCAGCUGCAGGGUCUUAUGGAAAUGAUCAUCGACCAUCUCCUCUAAAUCCUAGUAUAAACCAGACAGUCCUUACAAAUCCUAUGCAUUCACAAUUUUCCGCCACCUCAGAACCAGCAGUAAAUAGAAAUAAUUACUCUCCCUUUGGAUUGACGGAAUACAAUCAACAGAGCGCCACUGCAGCAGCAACAGCAACAGCAAGAAUCCAAGGUGAAACAUAUGGUAAUAUUCGAUCUUCGCAAAUGUCUAUAGCUAAUGUGCAACAAAGAACUAUUAGCCUACAUGCACCUCAAAUGACACCACAAAGGCCACAACUACAAACACAGGCGCAACCUGGAUAUGCACCUGAACAUAUGUGGGGGACUAUACCCGGAUCUGCUUUAAAUCGGGGUUAUCAAGAAAAUGCCAUUCCUAAUCAUUACAAUCCACAUGUUGCCGGACAUGUAGAACCAGGAUUACAACAGGCUGCAUGGAGAGGAAACAGCAACUAUUCCGAGGGAGCUGGGUUUGAAUCUUGGAGUCCUGAUAAUAGUCCUGUUAGGCGUCAGGAACAGGUUGCAAGAUGGAAUUACACACAACCUCAGAUGAAUAUGAGAGACAACUACAGACCUGAUUGGUCUGCAUCGCGUAAUCCUGGGCAUUAUUCUGGUUAUCGUGGUCCUGACGAUGGUGGUAAUAGGAGGUGGGGUGACAGGAGAAGAUAACCUUCAAACGGCUGGCCAUUUGAUUCUUUUGACGAGUGAUUCAUUAGUGUUUACAUUAGAGUAGAGCGUUCUCAGAGGGGGUUGCAUUUUUGCAACGUGAAAUGGUUGUAAACUUGUAAUGUCAGCAUGUCACAUCACUUUAUUUUGUUUCCCAAUUGGUACCUGUCAACAGAAAAAUAGAAAAUAGGAAUUCAGUUCACUUGGGAUCAUGCCAAGAUUCUUUAGAAAAAAAAAGAAGAAAUUUAUCCUAGUCAAGGGAUUGCUAUGUCUUGGUUGUGUCCCUACUUAAAAUGCUGGGAAUAAGUUAUUUCGAGAUUAAUUAUUUUGAGAUAACCUAAGGAAAAUAUUUUUAGGUCUGCCUACUAUUUUCUAAUCAAAUGCAGGAUAAAAUAAUUCUGCAUUGUAUUUGUGGGAUUAUUAUACGUUAUAUAUUACACGAGACGAUUUCUUAUGAACUUAAAAUUAAAGAAUUACUAAAAAAUAAAAGUGUCAUUCUUUUUUAAACACACUAAAAAAGAACAAAGAACGUAUGUUAAACAAAUUGAAAUGGAGGCUAGAGGUAGUAUUAAUACUCAUUCUGUACUAAUUUAUGAGGCAAAUUUAUACUUUAUUAUUGGCGGAUGAAAAUGAAGUACAUGAUUUUUUUAAAGUUAUAUUUGAAUAAAUUUUAGGGAACUUAUUAGUUACAGUUCCUAGUAUCUUCUAUAGGCAAACUGGCGAAGUAUCUGAUUCUCUCUUGCUCACAGCUCAUGCUAACGACUAAUUCUCAACGGCGAAAAUCGGUACUUGACCAAUUACAACUACUCGCCGGCGUUUCACAUCAUUUCUUCAUCGGAAAACUUCAACAGUAGUCGGAGCAACUCUCCAAUUUGAUCCAGCUGAAGAAUCUCUAAAUAUGGUAGCUAGAUUCAUCACAAGCAGUCUAAAUCGAAUACGAAAAACCUACUCAAUAUCACCAACUAUCAGUAGGCACAAUUACGAUUUCACUCCUCUAUAUGUAUCUCUGAGUUUCUAAUUCGGUGCUGACGAUUCAGCUACACGUGUUGUGAAUCCGAGUUUCAUGCUUCACAAUAUAUGGCAUACGGGCGAUUCAUAUUCUCAUCAUCAUGUCCAUCAUGACGUCCGCUCCGGUAUGACGGAGAGAAGAUUUUCUGGCUUGGACUUGCUGCUGAUAUUGGCCUUGCCGCCAGAAAAGCUUUUACAGGUUAAGUAUGUGGAAGCACCGCCAUUAUUGCUGAUGCGGCUCAUUCUAUCUCCGAUGUGGUAUGUGUGACGUAUCUAUUGAUGUUUAUUGUUUAUCUAACUUUAAUCUAUAAAAAUGAACUCUGACUUUAAUCUCUUGACCAUUUGACAAUAGAGGUUGUGAGUUUCCAGAAAAUGAGCAACAUAAAAUCUGGUUUUACUUUCUAUUAAACAAGUCGAACAUAAGUUUGAUAGAACUUGAUAAACCAGCAAAAAAGUUAUUGAUGAAAGCAAACUGGAUACUUCAUUAUAAAUUCCAGACUAAUUAAUAGAGUUCACAAUCUCAACUGAAAUAAAACAAAAUAACUUCUAAGAAUUAGGGAUAAAACUGCUACACAGAUUACAGCGAACUUAGACUGUUGCAGUUUUUAUGCAUUUUUGUAACACUCUUUGCUUUAAGACCUGCAAACUCCAAGGUUUUGCAUGAGAAGUUAAAUUUGUUGCCUGGUAAACGCUUGGUGAAGAUAUAAGCCUGCUGGCCCUCAUUUUUGCAAUAGAGAAAACUCACAUCACCAUUUUUUUGCAUUUCUCUUAUGAAGAAAAGCCUGAUAUUGAAGUGUUUAGGUUUACCAUGAAAUAUAGGAUUGUGAGAAAUUGCAAUCGCAAAUUGGUUGUCCACAUAUACUUCAGUUCCUUUUGUUUGAUUCAUAUGCAUUAUCAACCAAUAUUUUCCUCAACCACAACACUUGAUUCACUGCUGCUAUUGCAGCCACAAAUUCUGCCUCUGUAGUGGAUUGAGCCACAAUGAGCUACUUCAUUGAUUAUCAUGAAAAAAAUACCUAAACCACAACACUUGAUUCACUGCUGCUAUUGCAGCCACAAAUUCUGCCUCUGUAGUGUUGAGCCACUAUGAGCUACUUCUAAUGCUUUGUUAUGGCCUUUGCAGGUUCUGUGUGGUGUGUCAUUGCUGUCCUUUCAAGCUGCAAGGGUUCCCAAGGACAAAGAACAUCCAUGUGGUCACUCUUAAUUUGUAUCUACACGUAAACUCUUUUGAUCUUACAUCACUUUCUGUACAUGGCUUUAUCUUUUGAUUUUGUGCUUGUGUUUACUUGUGUAAUAGGUGGAUGUAAUAGCUGCCAACGUAAUUAGAUUUAGUUAACUGAGGACUGUUCGUUCCCGUGGUUGAUUUGAUAAAAUUAACCAAUAUAUGAUAUUGUAAUAGAGGUGAUAUGAUAUGAAUGUUAUAUCAUAUCUUCUAUAUUUAUCAAUGAAUACAAAUCUUAUCAACUUUACGUCUUAGUGGAAGGCAGACAGCCCUAGAAACAUGUAAAUAUGAGACUCUUCGAGCUCUUGGAAUUUCUGGUGUGCUGUUGGCUACUGCUGGUGGCAUAGGAUGGCAUGCUUUAGAUGUUUUGCUGGUAUGUAUCUAUGGCUAGUAUUCAUUAUGUCUAGGAGUCUAUAUUCCCAUUGUUUGAAAUUUUUUGAGACAUUUCUUGCAGGGAUUGUGGUCUGCAGCCUCUGAAGUUGUUAAUCAGUCAAUGACUCCUCUGCACGUGCAUGAGCAACAUCAUCAUGGAAUUGAUAUGGAUCACCCUAUCCUUGCUUUGAGUGUGACAAUACUCUCUAUAGCUGUCAAAGAAGGGUAAGAUUCAUUUUCACCUUCAAUUUGAAAAUUAAAAGAAUUUGUUCCCUUUUCUUUAUGUAUCCAUAUACAUAUUACCUUCAAGCAAUUUUAUUUUUAUGAAAGAGAGUUUCUUUGUAUUGAUUUAUUUUUUAUGAAAGACAGUUUAUUUGUACACCAUCAACGAAUUUCCAUGACCAUAUUCCAGACACCAUCAACUGUAUUUUAUGUUAUGAAAUGCAGUUGCUUUAUAUUGAUUACAAAAGCAAUAAUGAAGCUUCUAUACUUUCUCUCAGAUGCGCGGUAGUAUAGCAGCUUCAUUAAUGAAGCAAAUAAUGAAUCUGUGAGUUUGUUCCUAUAUAUAUGUUCAACUUUUUUCUUGUAGAUCAUACUGGAUAACAAAAAGAGAGGGAGAAAGGGUUGGCAGUGGGUUAAUUGAAGCCAAUGCCUGGCAUCUGCCGAUGCAGUAUCCUCCUUUGUUGGUCUCAUAGGGGAUGGUUGUUGAAUAUUGUUUGAGACGACGGGCACAAUCGACUUCUAACAACUUGAAUUUUAUUAUAUCAAAGUAAGGACUCGCUUCGGUCUUACAAUCUUGAUCACACUUGUUGCUUGCUUUAGCAACACUCUUUAUUUGAGCACACACUUGUUUGCUCUCUUGCUUUCUUACUUACUUGCUUGCUUACUUGGUUUAAUACUUACUUAGUUACAACUAAAAUGGACCACCUCUAUUUAUAGGAGGUGAUAGAAGAAUCUAGUGAUAUACAUACUACUCUAUACUAGAAUAUUUCUAGCUAUUUUUUUCUAGAACUACCUUUUCUAGAACAUUUUUAGACUAUUCUCUCUAGAAUACUCAUUCUAGAGAUCUUCCUUCAAUUCUCUACAACUCCGAAAUAUUCUAGAUUUCUUGAUUUAUCUUGAGUAAAUAAUUAAGUUGGUGAUGAAUUCUUAAUACUCCCCCUAAACACCAACUUAAUUUUUUCUUUGCGUUUGUUGUGAGCGGUUCCUGAAACCUUGCAAGCAUCAUGACGUCCAUGCCCUUUGAGGAUCUCCACUUUCGUUGGAUUAUUUUGAUCCCUACUCUUUGAAGCUUCUUCAAAGGUAGUAGCCUCUUUGAUGUUAACCACCUCAUUAAUGCUGCAUCUAUGUACUUGGUGUUUGGACGCUUCAGUCGAGUAGACCUCCUCAGUUGCCAUUGUGACCCUUUUUGGACUUCUUCUUCUUGCAACUCGUCUGGUGUUUCACAAGCUCCAGUUUGCCAUAAGCUUUUCUUUUCCUUUUGUGGAGAUACCUCCUGGUUAGUUUCAAUCUUGUUCCCUUGUUCUACUUCGUUGAGCUUAUCUUGCAGCUUUUGCUCAAGAGCUAUCGAGUCUGGCAGGGAGACUUCUUUGGACCACCAAGAUGACGCUUCGUCAAAUACCACAUUUCUUGACACAUAUGUCCGAUUAGUGACAAGGUCACAACACUUCUAUCCUUCUAUUUGUUCGUCGUAUCCAACAAAGAUGCACCGAACAACUUUCUUAUCAAAUUUGCUGCGGAGAUGAUUUGGCACGAACACAUAGCACACAUAACCAAAAACUCGAAAGUGACUUACAAUAGGGAUCAUUUUUUUAAGUUUUUCAAAUGGUGAGAUGAAUCUCAAUCUUUCCUGCUGCAGCCUGUUGGUGAUGUGGACAAUAGUUUUCAUGCAUUCUGUCCAAAACCUUGCUGGUACAUUCAUACUAUGUAGCAUACUUUUGCAUAUCUCUGCCAAAUGUCUAUUUUUUCUUUCAGCCACUCCAUUUUGUUGUGGCGUAUUCGGGCAAGUUAACAGUCGUCUUAUCAUCUACUUUUUAAGAUAAUCAUUGAACUCUCGUGACGUGUAUUCUCCCCCAUUGUCCGUACGGAGACAUUUGAUUUUUCUUCCAGUAUCAUUCUCCACAUUAUGUUGGAACCCUUUAAACUUCUCAAAUACUUCUCAUUUCUCUUUUAAUUAGUAAAUCCAUACGUACCAUGAGAAGUCAUCAAUGAAUGCUACCAUGUAACGGUAACCACUGAUGGAGGACUGCUUCACUGGUCCAAACACGUCUGAGUGUACUAGCUCCAAUUGCUUCUUUGCUUGAUACUUUGAUUCUUCAUAGGGAAGUUGAUGUGCUUUCCCAUAUUGACAUCUAACACAUAUAGUGUCUCCUAUAAUCUCAAGUUUGGGAAGACCUUUUAAUUUUGAUUGCUGCAUCAUGAUUUUUAGUUUGUUGUAGCACAUGUGCCCAAGACGUGUAUGCCACAGAUCAGCUGUUUCAUUACUUCGAGUUUUCUCAACAUAAGUUGUCUCGGCUGACAUGACGUAGAUUGAUUCUAACCUUUUUCCUUCCAUGAUUGGUGUGCUUGUAACUUUUAAGUUUCGAUAUACUUUUAUGUCAUUUGGCCCAAACAAGACAUAAUUACCAGAAUCUGUUAGUUGCGAUACAUAUAAUAAGUUUUUCUUCAUACCUGGAACAUGGUAGAUAUUUUGAAGUUCCACUUGCCUCGAGCUAUUAUGAGACACAAACACCGUCUUGCCAAUAUGCGUUAUUGGCAUUUUUGAAUUAUUUGCAGUUACCAUUACUUAACCGUCUUUACAUUCACUCAUGUUAAUGAGAUUUUUCUCAUCACCAGUCAUGUGAUUGGAAUAUCCUGAAUCAACGAUCCAAUAAUGUUCAUAAUCGACCAAUUUCUCAUUUACAAUUGCAAGUGCAAUCUCUUCUUCUUUGUUAGGGUGACACAUGACAAGAUCCUCUUGUUGAUUAGUUUCUUCAACUGUAUAAGAGGUCUCGAAAUCCCAAAUUUCUUCAUCUUUCUUGUUUUGAGUAGAAUUAUCUACAUUACCUUCAGCUUUCCUGUACAGUAGUCCUAGCAUAGUGUCCUUUCUUUCCACAAUUGUAGCAUUUCUCCAUUUUUCGGUUGUUGAAGCCUUUCGCCUGCUUGUUUUGCCGUUGAGUUCUUUGAUGUUGAUUCUUUUUCUCUCUCCCUGGCCGCGAGCUUCUCUUUUUUUGAAAGUCUUGCCUUUUGUUGAAAAGCGCCUUAUCUUCGUCUUUAUAGUGACACUUUAUAAUGGCUUCUCCAAAUCUUCUUCACUUGCCAACAAAUUUUCCAACUCAGAUAAAGUUGGUUCUGUGGCCCAUCCCCAUGUAGCUGUAAUUAUGCCUUUGUAUUCCGGCCUUAGACCAUGAACAAUGAUUCUCCUCAUUCUCGUCUCUGUGAUAGCAUUCUCUGAAUCUAAUUUUGAUAUUUCAUCAGAUAAAGAUUUUACCUUUGAGAAGUAUUGACUGAUCGUCAUAUUCCGUUGAGAGAUCGACAAAAGCUCAUUUUCAAGUCUUUGUAAUCUUGCAUCAUUUUUCUUUGUAAAAAUCGAUGUCAAGGUUUCCCAAUCUUCUUGGGGUGCCUUGGCAUUCUUAAUUUGUUGUAGGAACUCAUCCUCGGUGGUUACAGUGAGAGCAUACAUGGCCUUUCCAACUUUGACCUUCUACCUUUUUGCUGCUUCAACAUCUGUUGGUGGUGUGGUGUUUGAUCCACUGAUGAUAUCCCAUAAUUCUUGGCCGAGAAAGUAAUAAUGCAUUCUCUGCUCCAUGAUCCGUAGUUGCUUGUGUUGAGCUUCUCAACGCUAUUGAGAGUGCUUGCGAAAUCUGCCAUUGAUAAGUGCCUCACGACUUGUAGCCUCUGACAAUAGCUUCUAAGAUUUUCUUUACUACCUCGCUCUUAUCCACCAGGCUCUGAUACCACUUGUUAAAUAUUGUUUGAGACGAUGGACACAAUUGACUUCUCACAACUUGAUUUUAUUAUAUCAAAGUAAGGACCCGCUUCAGUCUUACAAUCUUGAUCACACUUGUUGCUUGCUUCAGCAACACUCUUUACUUGAGCACACACUUGUUUGAUCGCUUGCUUUCUUACUUACUUGCUUGCUUACUUGGUUUGUUACUUAGUUACAACUCAAAUGGACCACCUCUAUUUAUAGGAGGUGAUGGAAGAAUCUAUAGAGAUACAUACUACUCUCUUCUAGAAUAUUUCUAGCUAUCUUUUUCUAGAACUACCUUUUCUAUAACAUUUUAAGACUAUUCUCUCUAGAAUACUCAUUCUAGAGAUCUUCCUUCCAUUCUCUACAACUCCGAAAUAUUCUAGAUUUUUCUUGAUUUAUCUUACUUAAAUAAUUAAGUUGGUGAUAAAUUCUUAACAAUGGUAAUGAUCUUUAUACUCAAAUUUGACCUAAUUAUGUAUCUUUUUCUUUUAGCGAACGAGUUUUCACCAUUGAUUUGUUUAAUUGUAUCAUUGAGAACUAAUCAAAAUGUGUGUACUGGUUUUACUUUAAGCAUGAAAUACUAAUAUGUACUGUGGAGUGUUGCUAUUAAUUUGGUCUAGAAUAGUUUAUGAUUUUUUAUAUUCACAAUAUCAUUUUUUAUUAAUAAAGUACAUUUAUGUAUGUAAUGUCUACAAUAAUUACAACAUAGCUAGUGUAGUCGCACAAGUGGGGUCUGAGGAGGGUAGGAUGUACGCGGACCUUAGUUCUAUCUUUGCGGGGCAGAAAGGUUCUUUUCAAUACAUCCUUAGCUCAAACGAGAAGGUAAUCAAAGCAAGGUUGCAAGGAAAUAUGACAACAAAAAUAUCAGGAUAGAAAGAAAGCAAAUGAAGCAAUAGAUUGUAGAACACCUUGGAGCAUAGGAAACUACGUGAUUACUAGAUACUACUACUAAUAAGGCUAUUGGGGGGGUGGGGGAUGUGGCUAGCGCUUGUCUCUCCCAUCUAAAAAUAGGGGACAACACUUGGCUAUAUACUAGCAUUCUACCCUAAUUCUUGACUUCCACACCUUUCUAUUUAUGUCCUCAGUAAUUUGGAGUUAUGUCAUAUCCUGUCUAAUCACUUCCCCCAUCCCAGUUUUUCUUCAGCCUACCUCUACCUCUUUUCUUCUCUCAAUUUCUCAAUUUGCCCGUCCCCUUGUCAAAUCUUUUUCAUCUACGGACGUCACGUCACUCUUUGCCUUUUCAUCAACAAGGUGGGGAACAAAACAAUCCUCUUCUUCUUCUUCCCCCAUUUACGUAGCUGCUGUGGAAACCCUAGAAUUAAUCCUGAUGGAAUUGAGCUUUGUUCCUCUUCUUCAAUUGGUUGUUGAAUCUGAUGCGUGAAUUGGUUCGAUCUAUUGCUUCGAGGUCGGUCGAAAUUUUCGAUUGGCGGAGUCUAAAAUGGAAAAUCAAUUACAAUUGGCCUUGACCAGUCCUACUACGCCGUUCUCGAGCUUGUUCGACUCGCAGAAGGAAAUUCUCAAUAGCCAGAUUUAUCAGCUCCAAAACAUCAUUGUACAACAAUGUAACCUCACUGGCGUCAAUCCCCUCUCUCAAGAGAUGGUUCGUUUUCUUAAUCUUUGUUUUUUUCUGAAGUUUUUUUUAUUUGAG
rnacentral:lncRNA from 1 species